rnacentral:misc_RNA from 1 species
GAUGAAGAACGCAGCGAAAUGCGAUAAGUAGUGUGAAUUGCAGAAUUCAGUGAAUCAUCGAAUCUUUGAACGCACAUUGCGCCCCUUGGUAUUCCGAGGGGCAUGCCUGUUCGAGCGUCAUUAUAACCCCUCAAGCUCAGCUUGGUGUUGGGGCCUGCUGCACUGGCAGCCCUUAAACUCAGUGGCGGCGCCAUCUGGCUCUAAGCGUAGUAAUUCUUCUCGCUAUGGAGUCCUGGUGGAUGCUUGCCAUCAACCCCCAAUUUUUCUAUGGUUGACCUCGGAUCAGGUAGGGAUACCCGCUGAACUUAAGCAUAUCAAUAAGCGGAGGA